AUUGGUCGUGGCAUCCAGAACCACCAAGAGCCUCAGCUCACCUCCAGCUGCCAUGAUGUGGGAGGUGAAACCCAGGCCUCAACAGGC
rnacentral:snoRNA from 1 species